CUUCGACUUACGAAAGACCCUCGGGAACGAAUUUAUUUCCUGUGGCUUUGAAUUAAAACUGUUGAGAGGAAGCUUCCUAACAGCUCUGUGGAUCUCCCACCUUGUGAGGGGCAAGGAGGCCAUGGCACAGCCCUCCAGCACCUGGGCACCAGGAUGUCGUCUCCAGGCUCAAUUCAUUCCUGUCAGCACGCUGUGAGAUGACUGCAUUAUCAGGGGUUGAUAUCCCCCAACGAUGCAUGAGCAUUUAUGAUCCGUCUCACACACCGGAUUCCAGGGGUUUCUGUCACCGCAUGUUAUCUCCACUCAGCGCUAUCAUUGUGGGCAGAAGUGCUGGAGAUACUGUAGAGCUGAAUGGGAGAGAAAAAACACACACAACUAAACAGGGACAAAGAAAAGUAAAGAAAAGCAUUCACGUCUGUAAAAGUUAUGCAAGCGAUCACAAUCGGAGACAGAAGGUUCGGUGAAAUAAACUGAACUCAGUGGCAUUUGUAAGCCAGGAUUUCCCAGUAUUGUAACUUUUAAGAUUUACAUUUAACAAAGUACUUGAAAGUGAGAAGAUUCAUAGCACUCAUUUUGUAAAUUGUUUAUGGCACAUCAUUUAACACUCAGUGCAGCGUGUUUAUUAGUGAGAAUUCUUACAGCUGAUGUGAAUUUAAAGUGGGAACAAGAACAUGCGAUAGGUCUGACAUGUGUUUAAUUCUGCAUUAACGUCUUCCUGGUGGAAGCAAACAGGCUUGCCAUUAGACAUUCAUUAUAUUGAUUUUGCAGCAGAGUUGAGUCUCGUAGGAAAAUGAGGUUUCUCUCCCUUUUGUCUGUCAGCUAAUUAUUGAAAACAAGAUUUGCUUCUGAUUAAGGGAGCGGGUUGUUGUUGCUGCAGACACAUUGACGUGCACAAAACACCUGAGGUUAGUGGAGGACAGUGGGUGGAUAUGGUUGGGGCAAGGUCUUUCCUCCUUAAGCCUAUUAAAGAAACAGAUGCCAGAUCUUACAAGAUUUGCUUAUAACAAGGUGGAUUAAAUUGCACCAUAUGUCUGCAUUACUUUCCAGCCAUUUUAAGCAAAUAUUGUAGCUGUGUCUGCAAUUCCAAUUCAAAGCCACUGACAAUGAAGAUGUCUCUUUUUUUCUGGGUUUGUUAUGCUAAGAGUGGGAACGGGGUGAGAAUAUGAACACUAGCUUUUUACCAAAUGAUCUUCAAAUUCUGUUGGCGUUCAGAAAACAACACCAAUUCAAAAUGAAUCACUGAAGACAUGUUUUUAUGUAUUAUGUGGAUAUCUUACUUUUCUAAAAUCAGCCAACUUCCUUUAACCUGCCCAAAUAUAAAUGUCAUUCCUCUCCAUCCACCUCACUCACGAGGGAUGAACAAAUGACCUUUUCAAGCUCCUUCCUGGAAUCAGCUGUGCUGAGUGUCCCAACCAAAGGCUCCAAAAAGAUUUUUAAAAAUAAAUAACUAAUUAAGAAACCUCAAGAAAACUAUAAGCAUAUAUAGAUGUGUAAAUACUUGUGUAUACUACUGUAAAAGUACUGACAUAAUGGCGUCUUUAGCAUUUUUUCCCGCACAUCAAACUGCAAAUAAUAUUGAUUACUUUGAAGUUAAUUGUAUCAAAAGACCAGCUGUACUAAAGUCUCCAGUUUUGGUGAGUGAUAAUGUAGUAUUUUUACAUGUAAAUGCUAAACAUCUGUGUAGCUGUGAUGUGUCCAUACAGUCUACAGUACAACCAAGCUGGUUAGUGUUAGCUUAAACUUAGCUAACACUUCUAGCUAACACUUAGCUAACUCUAAAAUGCUUCCUUUUGUCCAAAUAUGGUCAUUUAUGGCUUAAAUUCUCAGAUUUGGGCUUUAAAAAGUCCUGAUGAGCUAAUGGGCAAUGUCACAGUGAACAUAUCCAUCUUUCAUAUAUAGUCUAUAGCUGGAACGUUAAACCCAUUUUACAUUGUGCCCACUUUUAUCUUAAGUGGACCGAUCCAGUGAAUUUCCUGUUUCCUGUAAAGAUAUUUAACUACACAUUUAAUCCCAUUUAAUAUAGAAAUAAGUCUUAAUUCAAGAGUAAAUCUCAGUUUUUAGAACACUAUGAAAAUGCUGCUGUAUUAAAUGCAGAACCCCCCCCGAAAAAACAAAAACAGGCCAGAUUCGGUCUUUGGCAGCCUGAUUCUGGCACUCGGGCUUUGCGUUUCACACCCCCAAAAUAUAGUGUAGAUUUUGCCUAUGCAGGUUGUUCAUGUCUACUCUGUGUAACAGCAGACUAUCCAUACAGAGGCUUCCCCAUUUUGUUUCAGCCUGAGCUGUAAAUGAUAGAUCAGUAAUUGAGGGAUUUGAUUCUACUUUGCCCUGUGGAGGUUGUCUUCCCCUUUGACCCAAAACCAUAAACGGCCUCCUGUCCCAGGAGGGAAAAAAGUAAUUGC